rnacentral:rRNA from 1 species
UACGGAGGAUCCGAGCGUUAUCCGGAUUUACUGGGUGUAAAGGGAGCGUAGACGGCAGCACAAGUCUGGAGUGAAAUCCCAUGGCUUAACCAUGGAACUGCUUUGGAAACUGUGCAGCUGGAGUGCAGGAGAGGUAAGCGGAAUUCCUAGUGUAGCGGUGAAAUGCGUAGAUAUCUGGAGGAACAUCAGUGGCGAAGGCGGCCACCUGGACCGGUAUUGACGCUGAGGCGCGAAAGCGUGGGGAGCAAACAGG